AACUCUUUCCAUUCUUGCCUUGGAACCGUAGGUGCUGCUGCUGAGUAAGGACUCAGAUUUUCGUUCAAGCUCUUCUCCGUUCUUCCCCGUCUUAGCUUUCUCCUUCCUGGAACUCAGACCAUUGGACGGAGAACAGGAAUAGGUGGGCGUCCUGGGAUGAGUCUCCGGUGGACCUUGGAGCUGUUUUGCUUGUGUGGAUAUUUUGAUUGUAGCUACUUGGGAUAGUAGCAUUUGGUUGUAAUUUUCUUUGGUGCACUUUAACCCUAGUCAGACCAGAACUUAGUAUAUUAUAUAUUCUAGAUCCUAUAUUUAUAUACUUGUUCUAUCUGUCUGGA